AAGAGGUCGUUUGGUUGGUGGUGCAUGGAGUGUCACAAAUAGUGAACCUCCAAGUUGGCAAAGCGCGCCAACCCGAGAAUUCUGUAGAGCGCAAUGGCGGAGGCCAUCCGGUUUUUUUCUACCAAAGACAAAGACACAAAACCAAAGACACCAAAACCGUUGCUGCGCCAGGCCUGGCCGGAGGACGAUCCUCCGACUUGACUCGACCACCGCGGGAUACACUAGAACACACGAACACACACACACAUGGUUAGGUUAGUUUUAAAUCGACGUAAAAUCAAUAAAUUAGGACAACUUAA